GGUUAAGCGACUAAGCGUACACGGUGGAUGCCCUGGCAGUCAGAGGCGAUGAAGGACGUGCUAAUCUGCGAUAAGCGUCGGUAAGGUGAUAUGAACCGUUAUAACCGGCGAUUUCCGAAUGGGGAAACCCAGUGUGUUUCGACACACUAUCAUUAACUGAAUCCAUAGGUUAAUGAGGCGAACCGGGGGAACUGAAACAUCUAAGUACCCCGAGGAAAAGAAAUCAACCGAGAUUCCCCCAGUAGCGGCGAGCGAACGGGGAGCAGCCCAGAGCCUGAAUCAGUGUGUGUGUUAGUGGAAGCGUCUGGAAAGGCGCGCGAUACAGGGUGACAGCCCCGUACACAAAAAUGCACAUACUGUGAGCUCGAUGAGUAGGGCGGGACACGUGGUAUCCUGUCUGAAUAUGGGGGGACCAUCCUCCAAGGCUAAAUACUCCUGACUGACCGAUAGUGAACCAGUACCGUGAGGGAAAGGCGAAAAGAACCCCGGCGAGGGGAGUGAAAAAGAACCUGAAACCGUGUACGUACAAGCAGUGGGAGCCUCUUUAUGGGGUGACUGCGUACCUUUUGUAUAAUGGGUCAGCGACUUAUAUUCUGUAGCAAGGUUAACCGAAUAGGGGAGCCGAAGGGAAACCGAGUCUUAACUGGGCGUUAAGUUGCAGGGUAUAGACCCGAAACCCGGUGAUCUAGCCAUGGGCAGGUUGAAGGUUGGGUAACACUAACUGGAGGACCGAACCGACUAAUGUUGAAAAAUUAGCGGAUGACUUGUGGCUGGGGGUGAAAGGCCAAUCAAACCGGGAGAUAGCUGGUUCUCCCCGAAAGCUAUUUAGGUAGCGCCUCGUGAAUUCAUCUCCGGGGGUAGAGCACUGUUUCGGCAAGGGGGUCAUCCCGACUUACCAACCCGAUGCAAACUGCGAAUACCGGAGAAUGUUAUCACGGGAGACACACGGCGGGUGCUAACGUCCGUCGUGAAGAGGGAAACAACCCAGACCGCCAGCUAAGGUCCCAAAGUCAUGGUUAAGUGGGAAACGAUGUGGGAAGGCCCAGACAGCCAGGAUGUUGGCUUAGAAGCAGCCAUCAUUUAAAGAAAGCGUAAUAGCUCACUGGUCGAGUCGGCCUGCGCGGAAGAUGUAACGGGGCUAAACCAUGCACCGAAGCUGCGGCAGCGACACUAUGUGUUGUUGGGUAGGGGAGCGUUCUGUAAGCCUGUGAAGGUGUACUGUGAGGUAUGCUGGAGGUAUCAGAAGUGCGAAUGCUGACAUAAGUAACGAUAAAGCGGGUGAAAAGCCCGCUCGCCGGAAGACCAAGGGUUCCUGUCCAACGUUAAUCGGGGCAGGGUGAGUCGACCCCUAAGGCGAGGCCGAAAGGCGUAGUCGAUGGGAAACAGGUUAAUAUUCCUGUACUUGGUGUUACUGCGAAGGGGGGACGGAGAAGGCUAUGUUGGCCGGGCGACGGUUGUCCCGGUUUAAGCGUGUAGGCUGGUUUUCCAGGCAAAUCCGGAAAAUCAAGGCUGAGGCGUGAUGACGAGGCACUACGGUGCUGAAGCAACAAAUGCCCUGCUUCCAGGAAAAGCCUCUAAGCAUCAGGUAACAUCAAAUCGUACCCCAAACCGACACAGGUGGUCAGGUAGAGAAUACCAAGGCGCUUGAGAGAACUCGGGUGAAGGAACUAGGCAAAAUGGUGCCGUAACUUCGGGAGAAGGCACGCUGAUAUGUAGGUGAAGCGACUUGCUCGUGGAGCUGAAAUCAGUCGAAGAUACCAGCUGGCUGCAACUGUUUAUUAAAAACACAGCACUGUGCAAACACGAAAGUGGACGUAUACGGUGUGACGCCUGCCCGGUGCCGGAAGGUUAAUUGAUGGGGUUAGCGGUAACGCGAAGCUCUUGAUCGAAGCCCCGGUAAACGGCGGCCGUAACUAUAACGGUCCUAAGGUAGCGAAAUUCCUUGUCGGGUAAGUUCCGACCUGCACGAAUGGCGUAAUGAUGGCCAGGCUGUCUCCACCCGAGACUCAGUGAAAUUGAACUCGCUGUGAAGAUGCAGUGUACCCGCGGCAAGACGGAAAGACCCCGUGAACCUUUACUAUAGCUUGACACUGAACAUUGAGCCUUGAUGUGUAGGAUAGGUGGGAGGCUUUGAAGUGUGGACGCCAGUCUGCAUGGAGCCGGCCUUGAAAUACCACCCUUUAAUGUUUGAUGUUCUAACGUUGGCCCCUGACCGGGGUUGCGGACAGUGUCUGGUGGGUAGUUUGACUGGGGCGGUCUCCUCCUAAAGAGUAACGGAGGAGCACGAAGGUUGGCUAAUCCUGGUCGGACAUCAGGAGGUUAGUGCAAUGGCAUAAGCCAGCUUGACUGCGAGCGUGACGGCGCGAGCAGGUGCGAAAGCAGGUCAUAGUGAUCCGGUGGUUCUGAAUGGAAGGGCCAUCGCUCAACGGAUAAAAGGUACUCCGGGGAUAACAGGCUGAUACCGCCCAAGAGUUCAUAUCGACGGCGGUGUUUGGCACCUCGAUGUCGGCUCAUCACAUCCUGGGGCUGAAGUAGGUCCCAAGGGUAUGGCUGUUCGCCAUUUAAAGUGGUACGCGAGCUGGGUUUAGAACGUCGUGAGACAGUUCGGUCCCUAUCUGCCGUGGGCGCUGGAGAACUGAGGGGGGCUGCUCCUAGUACGAGAGGACCGGAGUGGACGCAUCACUGGUGUUCGGGUUGUCAUGCCAAUGGCACUGCCCGGUAGCUAAAUGCGGAAGAGAUAAGUGCUGAAAGCAUCUAAGCACGAAACUUGCCCCGAGAUGAGUUCUCCCUGACUCCUUGAGAGUCCUGAAGGAACGUUGAAGACGACGACGUUGAUAGGCCGGGUGUGUAAGCGCAGCGAUGCGUUGAGCUAACCGGUACUAAUGAACCGUGAGGCUUAACCUU
rnacentral:rRNA from 1 species